UGAAUGGUGUUGUGUGGAAGACUAGUGAUUUUGUUGUUCUAAUUUUUACGUAACAAGGAAUCACUAAUCAUCCCACAAAGCCGUUCG
rfam:Tribolium castaneum strain Georgia GA2 linkage group LG7, whole genome shotgun sequence.